AGCGAACGCUGGCGGCAGGCUUAGCACAUGCAAGUCGAGCGGGCAUCCUUGUGGUGUCAGCGGCAGACGGGUGAGUAACGCGUGGGAACGUGCCCUUCGGUUCGGAAUAACUCAGGGAAACUUGAGCUAAUACCGGAUACGUUCGAGAGCAGAAAGGUUUAUCUGCCGAAGGAUCGGCCCGCGUCUGAUUAGCUAGUUGGUGAGGUUACGGCUCACCAAGGCGACGAUCAGUAGCUGGUCUGAGAGGAUGAUCAGCCACACUGGGACUGAGACACGGCCCAGACUCCUACGGGAGGCAGCAGUGGGGAAUAUUGGACAAUGGGGGCAACCCUGAUCCAGCCAUGCCGCGUGAGUGAUGACGGCCUUAGGGUUGUAAAGCUCUUUUCUCCGGGACGAUAAUGACGGUACCGGAGGAAUAAGCCCCGGCUAACUUCGUG
rnacentral:rRNA from 1 species